GACCAUCUAGCUCGUAUAAGAUACCAUCGACAGGUAAGUAGCUGAUGUAGUGAUACACAUCAUCAUCAUCCUCUUCCUUUUUCUUCCUCCUAGCAGAUAACUCAUCCUCGUCCGUGGUGGUGGAAGAUGAGUCAGGCCUAGCAAAGGUGUUGUGAGCCGCACGUAUCGCCUCGUUGUUGCUGAUGGCUAAACCUUUGAGCUCAGGUGGGAAGUCUUUAGCGAACUCUUUCAGUUCAGACAGUUCAGAACCGAUCUCGAUACCCGAGGAGUUCAUGAGGACAGACAGUAAGGCUUGUGUAGCACAAGCAUUUGACGCGUUAACUGCUGUAGCAGUGGUUGAUGAGCUUGAUCCGAAGGAGGUUCUUGAGUUGUUUCUCGACUCGAGGAAGACUUGGGUUCUGCAAAAGUUGAAUGCUUGUAGUGGUGAUGAUGCUGGGAGUGUUGUUUCGGUGUUUUGUGAUGUGUUGAGUGUGGUUCAGGUUACUGUGGGACAAGUCGGUGAGCUUUUUUUGCAAGCGUUGACUGAUAUGCCUCUGUUUUAUAAGACGAUUUUGAGCACCCCUCCGGCUUCUCAGCUGUUUGGUGGGAUUCCGAAUCCGGAAGAGGAGGUUGCGCUGUGGAAAUUGUUUAGAGAUAAUUUGGAAUCUGUUAUGGUUAUCUUUGAUAAAGUUGAUAUUUCUAAGGCGUGCCUGACUUGGUUGAGGGAAUGCGGUGGAAAGAUUGUUGGUAAGGUUAGUGGGAAGCGUUUGAUUGAAGCUAUUGUUACUGGUGCGGAGCUUGGAUCAGCGGAGAAGUUGAUCAGAGAGACCAUGGAUAGUAAAGAGGUAUUGAGUGGUAGUUUAGAUUGGCUUAAAAGUGUUUUUGGGUCUGAGAUAGAGCUGCCUUGGAAUAGAAUCCGGGAGCUUGUUCUAGCAGACGAUUUGAACCUAUGGGAUGAAAUAUUUGAGGAGGCAUUUGUGGAAAGAAUGAAAUCCAUUAUUGACUCUAGAUUUGAGGAUUUGGCUAAAGCUGUCAAUGUGGCAGAGUUGGUUCAUGCUUAUAGCGAGAUCACUGGUGAGAAGAUCAACUUCCAAGCAUACUUAAACAGACCUUCUACAGGUGGUGGUGUCUGGUUCAUCGAGCCUAACGCUAGGAAACCUGGUUUUAUUGCCGGAAACAAAAUGUCACCUGAAGAAAGCGACUUCCAAAGUUGUCUAACGGCGUACUUUGGUCCUGAAGUUAGCCAAAUCAGAGAUGCAGUUGAUCACCGCUGCCAGAAUGUUUUAGAAGACCUCCUAAGCUUCUUUGAGUCAGAAAAGGCAGGUCCGAGGUUAAAGGAUCUUGCUCCAUACGUACAGAGUAAAUGUUAUGACAGUGUCUCAGCACUUCUCGCAGAUGUAGAUAAGGAACUCGAAUCUCUCUGCGCUGCCAUGAAGAAAGGAAACAACGACAGCGAAGCAAUUCCACCUGCUAUAAUAAUUGAGAAAUCGCUUUUUAUGGGACGCCUUUUGUUUGCAUUGCUAAACCACUCAAAACACCUUCCCUUGAUUCUCGGUUCUCCAAGGUUGUGGUGUAGAGACAUUAUGACUGCAGUUUCUGAUAAGUUGUCAUCCUUGUUGAGACAACCAAGAUUUGGCUCGAAUACUGCAGGGACUCCUGACAGCCCUGGAAAGCUGUUGCAUACCGAUCUUAGGAAGCAGAGUUCGUUAGCUGUUGCGGCACUACUUAAGGCAGACGAGAAGACAAGUCCAAAAUUCGAAGAGCUUAAUAAAACUAUGCGAGAUAUGUGCAUUAAGGCUCAUACAUUGUGGAUACAGUGGUUAUCGGAUGAGCUCUCCGCUAUUCUCUUGCGGGAUCUUAGGAUUGACGAUGGACUGUCUGCUACAACUCCUUUAAGGGUAACUAAAAGCUGAUUCUUAUCCUUAUUUUUCUUAGUUGUCGUCUCUCUCCUGCAUUGAUAUUAGAUAUUGCUGACUAAUAUUCAUAGUUAGUUGUUCGCUUUCUUUGUUUUUGGUGGAAAUAUUUCCAGGAACUACUUUAUAUCUUGAUUCUUUGAAGUUCAAUGAGAUAGUUUAGUCUUGCUCUUUUGUUGUGUCUGAACUCAUCUUUGAAGUGAUAAUGCAGGGUUGGGAGGAGACAAUAGUCAAGGAAGAGCAGGGCGAGAGUGAGUUGAAGAUAUCACUUCCGUCCUUGCCUUCGCUCUAUAUAAUUUCAUUUCUCUGUCGGGCAUCAGAAGAGAUUCAUCGAAUUGGAGGCCACGUACUGGAUAAGUCAAUUUUGCAAAAGUUUGCUUCAAGCCUGUUGGAGAAGGUGCGUUGUCUUGUCUCUGUUUACUUACUUUCCUGUGAUUAUUUUCUACAUGCUGCAGAAGUGUUUCUGGCAAGGAACAAUGUUCUAUUAAAAAUAUUUGUGAUAGUUAUUCCCUUCUUCACACUUGUUCCCUUUCAUCAGUAAAUAUCUCCAAGCUAGUGAUUGCUUAUAAAAAUGAUUUUUUUUUCAAUGUUCCAUUGUACAAUGCAGAUCAUCAUUAUUUAUGAGGAUUUCUUAUCUGCCAGGGAGGCCAACGAACCCCAAAUUUCAGAGAAGGGGGUUUUACAAAUUUUACUGGAUUUGAGAUUUGCAUCGGACAUUCUUUCUGGGGGUGAUACAAGCACCAAUGUGGAGAUACAACCAAAGAUCACAAUGAACAGAUCAGCUUUCAGGCGAAAGCAGGGCCAACAGCAAACAAAGUCAGUCAACAGAGGUCGCAUUGAUGGAGUAAUCUCCCAACUGACCCAAAAGUUGGAUCCCAUAGACUGGCUCACGUAAGGAACCUUAUUCAUAAACUCUGAACAUGUCACAUGUUUACUAUUUUGUCCGUUCUAAGAAAUUCAUGGGAAUCUUGUGGUCUUAUCGUUUACUGUCUCAAUUAUUUUCUGAUUCUAGUAUAUUUUGAAAUGUGUCAAAAAAAGGUACGAGCCUUAUCUCUGGGAGAACGAAAAGCAGUCAUACCUACGCCACGCAGUACUAUUUGGAUUCUUUGUGCAACUAAACCGAAUGUACACAGAUACUUCCCAGAAACUACCAAGUAACUCAGAGUCAAAUAUCAUGCCAUGCUCCACAGUUCCCCGCUUCAAAUACCUUCCCAUAAGGUAAGCUUUUCUUCUUCCACACCUGAAACUAUUUGUAGCCUUGUGGGAAAAAUGGUUUCUCAUAUCCGGUUAAUGCAGCGCUCCGGCUCUGUCCUCUAGAAGUACAAAUAAGGUCUCCACUCCAGUUACAUCAAAUGAAAGUUCGUCAAGAAACUCAUGGAAUGCAUUUACAAAUGGCGAGCUUUCUCAAACAAGUGAUUUGGAAGAUGACUCCAGUUUCGGCGUGGCUUCCCCGUUCUUAAAGUCUUUCAUGCAGGUACAGUCUAGUCUCCUCGGUUGAUCAGUGGCUCAAUAGUUUUUCAUAAUUUGUUCAAUAUCGUAAGAUCAUGUAAUAUAUGUUUCAGGCUGGUAGUAGAUUUGGGUCAAUACUAAGUGACGGACAAGUUGGAAUAUUCAAGGAUAGGUCAGCAGCCGCUAUGUCGACAUUUGGUGAUAUAAUACCAUCUCAAGCAGCCGGUUUACUCUCUUCUUUCACAACCACAAGGUACGAGUGAUGAUGAUGAUCUUCGGUUUUGUGACUAAACCUAUGAUGAUUGCAGCAGCUGAGAUAUCUGCCAUUAAAGAAGUUUUUACAUAAACGAAGAGUACAAGUUUUGUAAUUGUGUUCGAUUUAUUGUUUCAUGUAAUUAAGAGAUUUGGUUCUACAAAAAUCCUCAAGACUGAUACAAUCAAACCCUCAUACAUAUAAAGUUUUAAUAUCCUUGCAAAAAACUGAUUAAGGUAUUAACGUCUAGCUUUCUCAAUGAGAGGCUUGAGCUUCUUCUUGUCUGCAAGAAUCUUGAGGAAGUUGAAGAGGAAAGGGACAUAGUUAUGUUUCCUCCUCAAGUUCUCUUUCUUCCAGUUCUUAGCCCUCUCUUCCUCCAUUACAAUCUUCUGCGACACUGUCUCGAUGCCGACAUUGACUUCAGAAAGAGAUUUAUCCAGAGCCUCGUAACUGCUCUUCUCGGCGUACUUAUCAGCUUGCAGUGUACCCACCUGCUGCAGAAUCCUCUCCCGCUUCAUCUGAUACUCUUUCAGCACAGCUCGGUACAUCUCUUUCCUGUUCUUAACCACAGCCAAGAGACUAAACCGGAUCUCGUUCUGGAGAUACCGGUCAAUCCUCUCUUGCACCACAGGUUGGACCAUUCUGAGCCAUUCGAUUCCGUCUGGCUCACCGAGACAUUGUCCAAGGCUGAUGGGUCCUUCUUUAAGACCAUCUAGCUCGUAUAAGAUACCAUCGACGGGUAAGUAGCUGAUGUAAUGAUACACAUCAUCAUCUUCCUCUUCCCUUUUCUUCCUCCUAGCAGAUAACUCAUCCUCUUCCGUGGUGGUGGAAGAUGAGUCAGGCCUAGCAAAGGUGUUGUGAGCUGCACGUAUCGCCUCGUUGUUGCUGAUGGCUAAGCCUUUGAGCUCAGGUGGAAAGUCUUUGGCGAAUUCUUUAAGUUCUGUUAGUUCAGAACCAAUCUCGAUACCAGAAGAGUUCAUGAGGACAGACAGUAAGGCUUGUGUAGCACAAGCAUUGUUGAUUAUCU
rnacentral:lncRNA from 1 species